rnacentral:rRNA from 1 species
GAUCCUGGCUCAGGACGAACGCUAGCUACAGGCUUAACACAUGCAAGUCGAGGGGCAGCAUGGUCUUAGCUUGCUUCCGAUAGGCGUCGACCGGCGCACGGGUGAGUAACGCGUAUCCAACCUGCCCACCACUUGGGGAUAACCUUGCGAAAGUAAGACUAAUACCCAAUGAUAUCUCUAGAAGACAUCUGAAAGAGAUUAAAGAUUUAUCGGUGAUGGAUGGGGAUGCGU